UACGGAGGGGGCUAGCGUUGUUCGGAAUUACUGGGCGUAAAGCGCACGUAGGCGGCUUUGUAAGUUAGAGGUGAAAGCCCGGGGCUCAACUCCGGAAUUGCCUUUAAGACUGCAUCGCUAGAAUUGUGGAGAGGUAAGUGGAAUUCCGAGUGUAGAGGUGAAAUUCGUAGAUAUUCGGAAGAACACCAGUGGCGAAGGCGACUUACUGGACACAUAUUGACGCUGAGGUGCGAAAGCAUGGGGAGCGAACAGG
rnacentral:rRNA from 1 species